rnacentral:rRNA from 1 species
AUUGAACGCUGGCGGAAUGCUUUACACAUGUAAGUCGAACGGCAGCACGGACUUCGGUCUGGUGGCGAGUGGCGAACGGGUGAGUAACAUAUCGGAACGUAUCCAAUAAUGGGGGAUAACGAGUCGAAAGAUUCGCUAAUACCGCAUACGCCCUACGGGGGAAAGCUGGGGACCUUCGGGCCUGGCGUUAAUGGAGCGGCCGAUAUCUGAUUAGCUAGUUGGUGAGGUAAAGGCCCACCAAGGCGACGAUCAGUAGCUGGUCUGAGAGGACGACCAGCCACACUGGAACUGAGACACGGUCCAGACUCCUACGGGAGGCAGCAGUGGGGAAUUUUGGACAAUGGGCGCAAGCCUGAUCCAGCCAUUCCGCGUGAGUGAAGAAGGCCUUCGGGUUGUAAAGCUCUUUCGCAAGGGAAGAAAACUUAGCCACUAACAUUGGUUGAGGUUGACGGUACCUUGAUAAGAAGCACCGGCUAACUACGUGCCAGCAGCCGCCGCCG